rnacentral:miRNA from 1 species
AUCCUUCCAGUCAAUAAGAAACAACAAUACCAUUGACCGGAAGUGAUUCCUUCCGGUUGAUGAGGUGUAACAGCCCCAUCGACCGGAAGGGAUUCCUUCCGGUCAAUGGUGUUGUUGUAUCUCAUCGGCCGGAAGGAU